rnacentral:rRNA from 1 species
UGAACGCUGGCGGCAUGCCUAACACAUGCAAGUCGAUCGGUAAGGCUCUUCGGAGUACACGAGAGGCGGACGGCUGAGUAACGCGUAGGAACACACCCUGCAGUGAGGGAUAAGACACCGAAAGGUGUUCUAAUACCGCAUACGGUCUUCGGAUUAAAGCAUUUAUGCGCUGAAGGAGUGGCCUGCGUCAUAUUAGAUAGUUGGUGAGGUAAUGGCUCACCAAGUCGAUGAUGUGUAGCUGGUCUGAGAGGAUGAUCAGCCAGACUGGAACUGAGACACGGUCCAGACUCCUACGGGAGGCAGCAGUGAGGAAUAUUUCACAAUGAGCGAAAGCUUGAUGGAGCAAUGCCGCGUGCAGGAUGAAGGCCCUCGGGUUGUAAACUGCUUUUAUAAGAGAAGAUUAUGACGGUAACUUGUGAAUAAGGGACGGCUAACUACGUG